GAUGGGAUAUGUUCACAUUGAUGAUGUUGCACUUUGCCACAUCUUAGUUUAUGAGCAUGAACCUUUGCAGCUCAACAGUUUUGGACAACAAUGAGUUGGCUUCCUUGUUAUCCAAGCAAUAUCCUUCCUUACCUAUCCCCAAAAGGUUUGAGCAACUAGGCAGGCCAAGGUAUGAUUUGAACACCUCAAAGUUGAAGAGUCUAGGGUUCAAGUUCAAGACUAUCCAAGAGAUGUUUGAUGAUUGUAUUGCCUCUUUGGUGGAGCAAGGUCAUCUUACUCAAUCAGUCUAAUUACACUCUCUCAAAUAUCGUGUUUCGGCAAAGUUCGUGUUCAUGUUAUCAAUACUUUAUCAAUAAAGUUUUGAGAAUUUUCUCA